UACGUAGGGGGCUAGCGUUGUCCGGAUUUAUUGGGCGUAAAGAGCUCGUAGGCGGUGUGUCGCGUCGGCCGUGAAAACCUGCAGCUUAACUGUGGGCUUGCGGUCGAUACGGGCAUCACUGGAGUUCGGCAGGGGAGACUGGAAUUCCUGGUGUAGCGGUGAAAUGCGCAGAUAUCAGGAGGAACACCGGUGGCGAAGGCGGGUCUCUGGGCCGAUACUGACGCUGAGGUGCGAAAGCGUGGGGAGCAAACAGG
rnacentral:rRNA from 1 species